CAAACCUAGUAAUGGAACCAAAUAAGAACCUAACUGAAUUCAUCCAUCCAUUUGUUCAUCUCAGUUCCCCUCCAUAUUUCCAUCACUCUCUCUCUCGCACCUUCAAUCCUUCGUCAACACGAACUCGUGUGGCGAUUUUACGGCCAGCAUUGGAAGCUUCGGCCACCGUAUGAACAACCUACACAAUCGUAUCUUCACCGUCGACAGAUCUCUGGUAAAUAUUUGCGCCUCUCGAAACCCUAAAAUCGCUUAAAACGGAAUCAUGCGACUCGAUUUUUGCUCCGAUCAACUACUGACGCAACAGAGGCUACGAACCUUAUGGUUGCUGCACCAGUUGUAUAAAUCGUACGAGCUUAUCAACAUAGUUAAAUACUAAAGAGAAUGAUGAACUUGUGCCACUUCCGCCUUCAAGUGAGUCAUCAAUAACAAGUCAUUUAUCAAAUGUACAAAAUUCAUCUCAAGAUGAGUCGGAGAAAUAGUAAUUUCAUAUAUUAUUCUGUUAAUUUGUAUUGAUAUUAAGUUCUCUAAUUAUUUUUUGAUUGAUUAAUAACAUUUUUUAAUCAGCCUCAAUGACUAGUGUGUCACCACCGAACCUCUUAGCAUAAAAAACAAGCACGCCUUAGUUUGAUGACAAAUUUUGACGACGACUUCAAUAGCCCUCAGGAUUACCAUACUAGCGACAAACAGAGGAAGUCACACUUGUAGAGCUUGAUGGAGAUGGAGAUUACCGUGUGCCUUUUGAACUUGGAGGUAGUGGUGGAAUGUUGAGAAAAACUAGUUGUUGGAAAUGCGCAAAAGGAUUGAAGAUGAUCGUUAAAGAAAAAAAGCCGAGCUUGAAACUAUGUGAAAAGAGUUUGCUAGCCAGCAACCCAACUUGGAAGCUAUGAUGCGGAAGGUUAUGAAGCAAGUAGUUGGAGAUCGAGAUUAGUAGAAUGUUUUCACUUUUUUAUUAUUGUAAUUUACUGUAAGGUUAUUUAAGUUUCGACAAACAUGUUGAAGUACACACUUUGAUUAUCAAUGAUAUCUUUGUUAUUAUUC